rnacentral:rRNA from 1 species
UACGAAGGGGGCUAGCGUUGUUCGGAAUUACUGGGCGUAAAGCGCACGUAGGCGGACUAUUAAGUCAGGGGUGAAAUCCCGGAGCUCAACUCCGGAACUGCCUUUGAUACUGGUAGCCUAGAGAUCGGAAGAGGUGAGUGGAAUUCCCAGUGUAGAGGUGAAAUUCGUAGAUAUUAGGAAAGAACACCAGUGGCGAAGGCGGCUCACUGGUCCGGUACUGACGCUGAGGUGCGAAAGCGUGGGGAGCAAACAGG